AUCUUUCUGUGAUCCUUAGGCGGGAUGAUUGGUUGUUAAUGUAUGUGUGUGGCACGUGCCUCCCUGGAACCUCUUUUACAAUUGCCGGCAUAUUGCCUGUCUGGUG